AGCUGAUGUUUUGUAAAGCUCCCGCUGAUGAGUCAAAGGAUUGAGUUUCAGUGGAUGAUGGCAAAAUUUCUUAACGGACUAUUUCUGAUAAAUUAUCUCAGGAAUCUCCUAAUGAAAAGGAUGGGUCGUUUAAUGUUGAUUCAGACAAAGACACGACACUGAUGGCAUGGAGUGGUUGCGGCAUUGCAGAGACCUAUAUGCUAUUUCAAUUGAAAGGGAAACAUCAAAACAGUGGUGCAAACCAAUGAACCUGCUGUUGGAGACGACAGUACCCACACCUUAUGAAAUCAAUGGUCUUCACAAGAUCAUGGACUGUGACAUGUUAUUGACAAAAGAAGAGCAUGAGACACAGAUUGUCUUCCAGAUAAAGUCUGCGAGUAGUAUGCAGAUUAAUAAAAGUUUCUAAAGACUCAAAUAUUACAUCACCUCUCCACUCCAUUGGUGUUGGUUCUCUCAACUUGACGCCUAUUUAUUUGGAUUUUGAUAUCCAAUGUCCUGCAGCCAUGGAGUGUUGUCAGACAGAUAUAAAUUGCUUAUUAUGGUGGCCGAUUGUGGAGAUGUUUUGGGUCAUCUUGCUGAAGAUUCCCUAUGAAGGCAGGCUGAUAUAAUGGUAGUAGAAUCUUAAUAUUUGGCUUGAUCUGUACUACCAGAGAUAUCGAGGUUUAAUGAACUGUAUGUCCUGGAUGUUACAGUGCCACAUACUUUUGUUUCGGGAGGUAACAUUUUCCCAGCUUCUCAAGGUUUAUCUCCGGAGAGGCUGGAGGGGGUGAUGUGUUCAUGGAGUUCAGUAACACAGUAGAAUCUGGUUUGCCACAUUAUUUUUCUCAAGAUAUUAGGUUUUCAAAUGUUGCUUCCCAUGGAUCUGAUAGACAUGGUGAGCUAAUUUUAUGUAUCAGUUAGGUCAUAAGAUGUCCAUGAACUUCUUCUAUUUUGCCUACUACAUAAGUUUUAUGUUGUAUAUAGACCAGCAAACUGGAAUAGUGGGCCUAUCAAUGUUGAAUUCACAAGGCCUGAAUAUGGAGACAUAUAUUUUUACAUGAAAUAGUUGUUUCUAGAAUUUUUUAUGUUCCUAUUACAGGCUGUUGAUGCACACUGUUUUAUAACAGGAUGAUGAUGUGUGCUACUUUGUUGAGUGGUUGAUUGCAGAAUGGAAGGGCUGGGGUGCCAUCACGAUGAACAGCGACGAGAUAUGAAGAGUAUUAGAAGUGGGACUACAUCCAUGUGAUUCUCUGAUGUCUGGAAGAGGCAAGCUGGAGCAUUCCAUUCCUCUAUGGUUAGGAAGCACACCUCGCUGUAGACAUCGCCUGACGGCCAAGAAACAAAGGGGGGCUUCAAAAGGGCUUCCUUUCCGCCUUGGUUUCAGAACUUGUGUUCAUGUUAUUAGCUAUAGAAAUGCAACUGUGUUGUGUAUGGAAAUGGGGUUGCGACAAAGCAGAGCUCAUUGCACUGCGCCCUCACAUAUCCCCAUCAGCUACAUGGGCCACAUCACCUCCUGCGGCAGCCUUGGCGCUCCAGGGCGAUUCGAGCAACGCCCGGAGCCAUCUCGGGCAUCUGUGUGGCGUUGGACGUCGAAAACUCAACGGGAAACGGUGGCCUCAAGCGCGGGUCUGUCUUAAGUCCAUGUGCAUUCUGUCCCACCGGUGCCCGGCAGCGUCGACGACCAUUUUCUCCUUCCACUGUCUUCUUUUCAUCGCCCCAGCCAGAUGUACUUCCGGCAAGAAGGGUGUAGGAUGAAGAAUAUGAUGAUGAUACUGAGGCUGGACAGGUCAGUGCAAUCACUAAUGAAACCCUUACUGUUAGUUAGUUCUCCACGAGCAUACAAAAUGUAAGAAAGCAGGAGAAAAACUCAAUAGUUAAUUCUCCAUGAGCACCUCAACUAUUUCUCAUGUUGCAAUCUAUUGUCGCUCUUAUUUUCUGAACUGGACGCUACUGGAUCGUCGCUUCCAGUAUAAAACAAUCGACAAUACAUAGUAGCCCUCCAGCGUGUCUGUUGUAUUUGUCUUCCACCUGAUGUGAGUACAUAUUUAGAUAUCUACAGGUAAUAAUAGCUGAGGUGUAUUUUAUUUCUACCAGUUAGGACAUGUGCUCUUCGCAUUGAUUUAGCCCGAGUAGGU